rnacentral:rRNA from 1 species
UACGUAGGGGGCAAGCGUUGUCCGGAUUUAUUGGGCGUAAAGAGCGUGUAGGCGGCCAGGUAGGUCUGCUGUGAAAACUCGAGGCUUAACCUCGAGAUGUCGGCGGAAACCAUCUGGCUAGAGUCCGGAAGAGGAGAGUGGAAUUCCUGGUGUAGCGGUGAAAUGCGCAGAUAUCAGGAAGAACACCCGUGGCGAAGGCGGCUCUCUGGGACGGUACUGACGCUGAGACGCGAAAGCGUGGGGAGCGAACAGG